rnacentral:rRNA from 1 species
GACGAACGCUGGCGGCGUGCUUAACACAUGCAAGUCGAACGGAAAGGCCCUGCUUUUGUCGUGUUCUCGAGUGGCGAACGGGUGAGUAACAAGUGAGUAACCUGCCCUUGACUUUGGGAUAAUUUCAGCAAACUGGGGCUAAUACCGGAUAGGAGCUCCUGCUGCAUGGUGGGGGUUGGCAAGUUUCGGCGGCUGGGGAUGGACUCGCGCCUUAUCUGCCUGUUUGUUGGGUAGUGCCUUACGAAGGCUUUGACGGGUAGCCCACCUGGGAGAGUGAUCGGUCACAUUGGGACUGAGAUACAGCCCAGACUCCUGCGGGAGGCAGCCGUGGGGAAGAUUGCACAAUGGCAGGAACCCUUAUGCAGAAACGCCGCGUUGCGGAUGACGGGCUUCGGGUUGUAACCCGCUUUUGCCUGGGACGAAGCGUGGGUGACGGAAACGGGUAAAGAAGCACCGGCUAAGUACGUG